GACGAACGCUGGCGGCGUGCUUAACACAUGCAAGUCGAGCGGUAAGGCCCUUUCGGGGGUACACGAGCGGCGAACGGGUGAGUAACACGUGGGUGACCUGCCCUUAGCUCUGGGAUAAGCCUGGGAAACUGGGUCUAAUACCGGAUAUGACUCCAUAACGCAUGUUGUGGGGUGGAAAGCCUUGUGCGGCUAGGGAUGGGCCCGCGGCUAUCAGCUUGUUGGUGGGGUGAUGGCCACCAAGGCGACGACGGGUAGCCGGCCUGAGAGGGCGACCGGCCACACUGGGGACUGAGACACGGCCCACGACUCCUACGGGAGGGCAGCAGUGGGGAAUCUUGCGGCAAUGGGCGAAAGCCUGACGCAGCGACGCCGCGUGGGGA
rnacentral:rRNA from 1 species